rnacentral:tRNA from 1 species
UAAAUUUUAGUUUAAAUAAAAUAGUUCAUUUACAUUGAAAAGAUUUUAAAAUAAUAAAAAAUUUA